UAAACUAGGAUUNAUACCCUAUUAUUUUGAACUAGAUUAAUAUUACCAGGUUAGUAGUAGUUAUGUGCUUGAAAAUUAAAGAAGAUGGCGGUAUUUUAGUCUAUUCAGAGGAACCUGUCCUGUAAUCGAUGAUCCACGAUUUAUUAUACUUAUUUUAUAAGUUUGCAUAUCGCCGUAGGUGGAAUGUCCUUUAAGGGGUUUAAACAUUCAAGAGGUUUUUGCUUGUGAAAAUAAAUCAGGUCAAGAUGUAGCUAAUAAAUAAGAAGAGAUGGGUUACAAUAAAUUUAUUUAUA
rnacentral:rRNA from 1 species